UUUCUCAAAGUUGUAUUAGAUCCAACUAUAAUUAACUACCAGAAGCUAAUUAACGUUAAGGUUAACCAACCUUAAAACAUUAAACACCAUGUUUUAGCACAUAUUAAAACAUAAUCCGAUAUCAAAACCUUAACAUCAAAGCGAAAACAUCCAAAACUUCCUAAGGAUAAAAAGGUUCGAAAGACGAAUAAAUAAACGACGACCACAAAGAUAAUAAGAGAUGAAGAAAGCCUUUGAUACAAGUAACAGCUCAUUCUUCAUCAUCCUCGUCGGCAUCACCGCCUGCCGCCUUCUUGGCAGCGGCUUUCUGGUUCUUUCGCUUAACUCUGCCGGGUCGGCCACCACCAAAGGGACUUGUGAGCGAGAAGUCAAUGUGCUUCUGUGAGUCAACUCUCACCAUGAAAGACGGAACAUUCACCACUUGCCUUCCAACCCUUACCUGAUGUGCCUCUGCUUGAUGAGCACUCUAGCAUGAUGAAUAGACUUAGCCAUACCGGUUUUGAACACGAGUGUCUGCAAACGACGUUCUAGAAAGUUCUCAACGGUAAGUGCCAAUACAUAAUCAAGCUUGUUUUGGCUCUCAUCCAAAAGCCCGUAACGGUUCAUUCUCCUCAUAAGUGCUUCACCCUCGAAAAUUCGACGGGGGUCCUUUUCUUCGAGGGUCAAAAGCAUUCUUGCGGCAUUUCUAAUUCGACUAAGAGCGUAUUGCACCCUCCAGAGCUCGCGUUUGCAUCGGAGACCGUAUUCUCCUACGAGUUUUAACUCAGCGUCCAAACGUUCCUUCUCGUAUGGACGACGGGGCUUCUUGAAAGUCUUUCCAUCUGUUUCGAUAAAAUGACACAUGGACCAUUGCUGUCCAAUUUCAGUGCAGCAACUGCUUGCUGCUCUUCUCACUUUCUUCCUUCG
rnacentral:lncRNA from 1 species